rnacentral:misc_RNA from 1 species
GGAAGGAUCAUUAUUGAAUGAGGCUUGUGGCUGGAUGCUGUUUUGCUGGUCCUUGGGGACAAUGUGCACGCUUCUGGUCAUUUGUUUCUUUUGUUCCACCUGUGCACUGGCUGUAGACACAAAUAGUGUCUAUGAUAUUGUCUACAUUCACUAUUAUUAUGUAUGGUGCCUUGGCAAAUAUAUGAAGGAACAAUUUACAACUUUCAACAACGGAUCUCUUGGCUCUCGCAUCGAUGAAGAACACAGCGAAAUGUGAUAAGUAAUGUGAAUUGCAGAAUCCAGUGAAUCAUCGAAUUUUUGAACGCAUCUUGCGCUCCUUGGGAUUCUGAGGAGCAUGCCUGUUUGAGUGUCAUUAAACUAUCAUAACCACACUUUUUUUUGGGAGGUGUGAUUUUGGACUUUGGGAGUUUGCUGAAUCCAGCUCUCCUUAAAAGUAUUCAAAGGCUGUUGUGGGCUUCAUUGGUAUAAUAAAUGAUAUAUGCUGACAUGAAAGUUCCCAUUGCCUUUAUGUAUUUGUUUUUGAAUCUUUGACCUCAAAUCAGGUAGGAUUACCCGCUGAACUUAAGCAUAUCAAUAAGCGGAGGAAAAGAAACUAACAAGGAUUCCCCUAGUAACUGCGAGUGAAGCGGGAAAAGCUCAAAUUUGAAAUCUGGCAGUCUUUUUUUCUUUCUUUGGCUGUCCGAGUUGUAAUCUAGAGAAGUGCUUACCUGCGCUGGACCAUGUACAAGUCUCCUGGAAUGGAGCGUCGUAGAGGGUGAGAAUCCCGUCUUUGACAUGGACUGCCAGUGUGUUGUGGUGUGCUCUCAAAGAGUCGGGUUGUUUGGGAAUGCAGCUCUAAAUGGGUGGUAAACUCCAUCUAAAGCUAAAUAUUGGCGAGAGACCGAUAGCGAACAAGUACCGCGAGGGAAAGAUGAAAAGGACUUUGGAAAGAGAGUUAAACAGUAUGUGAAAUUGUUGAAAGGGAAACACUUGAAGUCAGUUGUGUCUGCUAGGGAUCAACCCAUCCUUUUUUUUGUUGGGUGAAUUUUCUAGUAUGACAGGCCAACAUCAGUUUUGACUGUUAGAAAAGAGUAGAAGGAAUGUGGCACCUUUGGGUGUGUUAUAGCCUUUUGUCAUAUAUAGCAGUUGGGACUGAGGAAUUGCAGCGCGCCCGCAAGGGUAGGGUCUUUGACCACGUUCGCGCUUAGGAUGUUUGGCAUUGAAUGGCUUUAAUUGACCCGUCUUGAAACACGGACCAAGGAGUCUAACAUGCCUGCGAGUAUUUGGGUGAGGAAAACCCUUAUGCAGAAUGAAAGUAAAAGUUGAGAUCCCUGUCGUGGGGAGCAUCGACGCCCGGACCUGAGCUUUUUAGCAAAGGAUCUGCGGUAGAGCAUGCAUGUUGGGACCCGAAAGAUGGUGAACUAUGCCUGAAUAGGGCAAAGCCAGAGGAAACUCUGGUGGAGGCUCGUAGCGAUUCUGACGUGCAAAUCGAUCGUCGAAUUUGGGUAUAGGGGCGAAAGACUAAUCGAACCAUCUAGUAGCUGGUUCCUGC